GCAAUAUAUUAAUAGUUCAUUUUUUCAGCAAUAACUGUUUUUUUAACUGGCACAAAUUAUUAUUAAUACUCACUUAUAUACCUGGUCAUUUGGUGCCUUUGAUGGCAAGAACUAGUUAUAGUUUUCAGUUGACAUCAUGCUUUAGUCUGUGAACACUCGUCUUUGUGUCCUUUUUGUUUGCAGAUAAUGGCUACUGCUUAUCUCA
rnacentral:misc_RNA from 1 species